GCGCCUGUAGCUCAGUUGGAUAGAGCAACGGAUUGCGGAUCCGUAGGUCAGUGGUUCGAAUCCACCCAGGCGUGCCA
rnacentral:tRNA from 1 species